CGUAGGUGAACCUGCGG
rnacentral:rRNA from 4 species